rnacentral:lncRNA from 1 species
CAGCACAGACUGUAAAGAAAUAUUUUAUGUUUGUAUGCUACCAUUACAAUAUUUAAAUACACAUUACAAAGUAUUGCAUGAAAAUGUGGAUGCUAUAACAUACUAUAGGCAUAGUACUAGAGCCGAUUUACGCAAUCGAAUACCGCCGGAAGUAGAACAUUUAUGUCAACACAGGUUUCGUAUUUUCACGUGAAAACGGCCGAAAACUGAGAGGUUAUCAACAAAUUAUAAGUUUACGGGUACGAUGAGGAUUUUUCAUGCAUUUAAACGAAAGAAGUACAAGCGAACAGAUGACACAUUAAAGUGGCUGCAGAAGCUUGAAAAGUUAGAUAGAGCAGGGGCAGUCAAAACAGUGGGAUAAUACUUCUAUGGUGUCCAACAUGUCUAGUCAGGUUGACAGAAGUGAAAGAUGGUCUGAUGGUACAAUGAUGUACAAAUGAUACUCUUUAACAAGUUGAACAUGUCAAGGUGUAAAAUGUUCUGUGGAUUCAUAUGAUGAGAAUGCCAGUGUUGAUCUGUAUGACUUAAUUAAACAAAGAUAUUGAUACCUUCAGAUAUAUACCUGUGAAAUCUUCAGUGUCACCGUUCAGCUAUUGUUCAAGAUCAGUGUCUGCAGCUUGCACAGUUUAGUGUAGAGGAGCCUUCUGAAUCCACUUUGUUACAUAUUUGCUGUUAUUGUAGGACACGCAUGUAGACAGCAGCAAGUCCUGUCCAGCCGUGCAUGUAAAUGUGAUUCAGAAACUUUGAGAAUAUGUAAACAUUACACUGUUAUAAUUUUCAAAAUACUGUGUCUUGUAGUGUAUCAGUACUGUUUUGUCUCAGUUUAUAGCACAGUAUGUUCACAAAUCAAACAUAAGACCAUAGUGAUCAUUAUUAUUAAAAUCAUUAAUUAUUUGUAUGGUGACAAAAUUUAAUUUCAUGCAAUACCACAGUAAAACGUUUGAUAAUUUUCGCUUUUAAAGUUGUAAGUUUAAGGUUGGCAUAAUUUUUUUUUUCUUUCAUAAAUCUAAAAAGUGAUUGGUCAUUAUAACUGCAAUAUUAUUUUAGUAUGACAAAGUUUAUAUUGAACUAAAACACUAAUGUAAAUUUUUGAACUAAUCAAUGCAUUUU